rnacentral:rRNA from 1 species
UGAGGAAUAUUGGGCAAUGCCCGCAAGGGUGACCCAGCAACGCCGCGUGGAGGAUGAAUGUCGUAAGAUUGUAAACUCCUGUUAGAGGGGAAGAAUAGUACCGGUUGGACCGGUAUAUGACUGUACCCUCAGAGAAAGCCCCGGCUAACUACGUGCCAGCAGCCGCGGUAAUACGUAGGGGGCAAGCGUUGUCCGGAUUUACUGGGUGUAAAGGGCGCGCAGGCGGGAUAAAAAGUCAGUGGUGAAAUCCUACAGCUUAACUGUAGAACUGCCUUUGAUACUUGUAUUCUUGAGUUCGGGAGAGAGAGACGGAAUUCCAGGUGUAGCGGUGAAAUACGUAGAUAUCUGGAAGAACACCAGUUGCGAAGGCGGUCUCUUGGUCCGACACUGACGCUGAGGCGCGAAAGCGUGGGGAGCAAACA